rnacentral:rRNA from 1 species
UAGGGAAUAUUGGACAAUGGGUGAGAGCCUGAUCCAGCCAUGCCGCGUGCAGGAAGAAGGCGUUAUGCGUUGUAAACUGCUUUUUGCCAGGGGAUAAAAAGACCGUGCGCGGUUAAUUGAAGGUACCUGGUGAAUAAGCCACGGCUAACUACGUGCCAGCAGCCGCGGUAAUACGUAGGUGGCAAGCGUUGUCCGGAUUUAUUGGGUUUAAAGGGUGCGUAGGUGGCCCUGUAAGUCAGUGGUGAAAUAUCUCAGCUUAACUGAGAGGGUGCCAUUGAUACUGCAGGGCUUGAGUACAGAUGAGGUAGGCGGAAUUGACGGUGUAGCGGUGAAAUGCAUAGAUAUCGUCAAGAACACCGAUAGCGAAGGCAGCUUACCAAGCUGUAACUGACGCUGAGUACGCGAAAGCGUGGGGAGCAAACAGGAUUAGAUACCC